UACAGAGGUCCCGAGCGUUGUUCGGAUUCACUGGGCGUAAAGGGUGCGUAGGUGGUUAGGUAAGUCCGAUGUGAAAUCUCCAGGCUCAACCUGGAAAUGGCAUUGGAUACUAUUUAGCUUGAGGAGUGGAGGGGGGACUGGAAUUCUCGGUGUAGCAGUGAAAUGCGUAGAUAUCGGGAGGAACACCAAUGGCGAAGGCAGCUCGCUGGGACGGUACUGACGCUGAGGCGCGAAAGCGUGGGGAGCAAACAGG
rnacentral:rRNA from 1 species